GCCUGGCAGCACUCGGAUUUGGGCAGCAAGGAGCUGGAGAAAGAGCCCUCGCUGAUGGCCAUCUUUUCUGGCAGGAGCAACCAAAGGAAGCAGCAAAUUAGAGGAGCACAAACUAAGGAAAAGGAUUUAACCUGCUCUAGGCUGUGAGAAGAGCUUCCCUCUUGCUCAUUUUCGACCUAACCACAAAAAAGUGAAAUAAAAUGCUGCUGGCAGUGAGAAAGGAGGGUUUCCAUCUGACUGCACAGCAGUACCUCAGUCCUCAUCAGUGAUUUUUAAUUAAUGAAAAUGAUGAAUGCAGAGAGUUGUG